AUUGAUAUGAGACCAUUCUAUAAUUCUUGAAUUGAAUCAGUUAUAUUAAUUUAGAAUAGAUGAUGCCAUGUGAUAAAUGAGAGUUCAUUCGGAAGACAGCGCUUCUUGUUCUAUAAUUUGUAAUUUCCAUUUUGCUGAAUGGGAGGACAUGAAAUGUAAGUUAAUCCUUAAACUAAAUAAAAUAGCCAAAAUAAUAAUAAUAAAACAAAAAAGGAGAAAUAAAAAUAAAUUAUGGGAAAAGUCAAAGCUAAAUUUUCACAGUUCUUCUAAAUAUUUUCAAUAAAAAUCAGUCCAGCUGAAGUGAUGUAAUAAUUUUCAGUCAUUUUCUUUGUGUGAAAAAUAUUAUUAAAAUAUGAUUAAAAAAAAUAACAACAAAGUUGGUUAUUCUUGAAAUUUUGAUGCUACUAAUUUGCAUAAUAGUGGACAGUUAUAAGCUUUUCAUGGAUGAAUCAUUCGAUAUAUUAAAGGAUGGGGAUUAAUGAGCCAGAUUCAAAUCUGUUAUGAAAAAAGAGACAUAGGACUUAGCACCUAAAUUGAAUAUUAAGUUUUUAGUUUUCAAACGUAUCUGUAUUUGAAAAACUUCAUUGAAAAAAUAUGCUGAAAAUAAGCAAUAGGUUCAAAAUAGCUUUAAAUAAGAAAUAGGUGAAAAAUUAGAUGAUCAAAACCUAGAUUAAAUUAAUGAGAAAUUAAUGUUUAUUAAUCAAAGAUUGGGAAGAAAUUAUUCUGAUCAUCAACAUUGAUGCAUGUUAUACAUUACAUUAUAAAUUCAUCAUGUGUUAUCCUGUUGUCAUAAAUUAAAUUUGAAGAUGGGAUGUUGAGUUAUUAGCUUUAUACAUCUUUCUAUCUUUAUUAGGUGUAAAUCAAUAGAGUCAGUGCAAAAUAUACUCUGAGCCACCAUAUCCAUUGUUGAAUUGGCUAGUAUAUGAAAAAAAAGAAUUGAUAGGUCAACUGAGAUCUCCUAAAGAUGCAGGAUCUACAAUCUCCUUGAUGUGACAUUAUCACCUGUUGGAUAACUGCAUGUUAGAAAGUAUUGCUAUACAUCUAGAGAAGCAUUGGACAGACUAUAAAUUGUGCAGUUAUUGGAACUGUUUUAUGUGGCCUUUGUAAGUAAUUGCUAUAAUGCCCAAAAUUUUACCAAUAAAUAAAAUGCAUAGUAGAAAAUA
rnacentral:lncRNA from 1 species